AAAUUGAAGAGUUUGAUCAUGGCUCAGAUUGAACGCUGGCGGCAGGCCUAACACAUGCAAGUCGAACGGUAACAGGAAGCAGCUUGCUGCUUCGCUGACGAGUGGCGGACGGGUGAGUAAUGUCUGGGAAACUGCCUGAUGGAGGGGGAUAACUACUGGAAACGGUAGCUAAUACCGCAUAAUGUCGCAAGACCAAAGAGGGGGACCUUCGGGCCUCUUGCCAUCGGAUGUGCCCAGAUGGGAUUAGCUUGUUGGUGGGGUAACGGCUCACCAAGGCGACGAUCCCUAGCUGGUCUGAGAGGAUGACCAGCCACACUGGAACUGAGACACGGUCCAGACUCCUACGGGAGGCAGCAGUGGGGAAUAUUGCACAAUGGGCGCAAGCCUGAUGCAGCCAUGCCGCGUGUAUGAAGAAGGCCUUCGGGUUGUAAAGUACUUUCAGCGGGGAGGAAGGGAGUAAAGUUAAUACCUUUGCUCAUUGACGUUACCCGAAGAAGAAGCACCGGCUAACUCCGUGCCAGCAGCCGCGGUAAUACGGAGGGUGCAAGCGUUAAUCGGAAUUACUGGGCGUAAAGCGCACGCAGGCGGUUUGUUAAGUCAGAUGUGAAAUCCCCGGGCUCAACCUGGGAACUGCAUCUGAUACUGGCAAGCUUGAGUCUCGUAGAGGGGGGUAGAAUUCCAGGUGUAGCGGUGAAAUGCGUAGAGAUCUGGAGGAAUACCGGUGGCGAAGGCGGCCCCCUGGACGAAGACUGACGCUCAGGUGCGAAAGCGUGGGGAGCAAACAGGAUUAGAUACCCUGGUAGUCCACGCCGUAAACGAUGUCGACUUGGAGGUUGUGCCCUUGAGGCGUGGCUUCCGGAGCUAACGCGUUAAGUCGACCGCCUGGGGAGUACGGCCGCAAGGUUAAAACUCAAAUGAAUUGACGGGGGCCCGCACAAGCGGUGGAGCAUGUGGUUUAAUUCGAUGCAACGCGAAGAACCUUACCUGGUCUUGACAUCCACGGAAGUUUUCAGAGAUGAGAAUGUGCCUUCGGGAACCGUGAGACAGGUGCUGCAUGGCUGUCGUCAGCUCGUGUUGUGAAAUGUUGGGUUAAGUCCCGCAACGAGCGCAACCCUUAUCCUUUGUUGCCAGCGGUCCGGCCGGGAACUCAAAGGAGACUGCCAGUGAUAAACUGGAGGAAGGUGGGGAUGACGUCAAGUCAUCAUGGCCCUUACGACCAGGGCUACACACGUGCUACAAUGGCGCAUACAAAGAGAAGCGACCUCGCGAGAGCAAGCGGACCUCAUAAAGUGCGUCGUAGUCCGGAUUGGAGUCUGCAACUCGACUCCAUGAAGUCGGAAUCGCUAGUAAUCGUGGAUCAGAAUGCCACGGUGAAUACGUUCCCGGGCCUUGUACACACCGCCCGUCACACCAUGGGAGUGGGUUGCAAAAGAAGUAGGUAGCUUAACCUUCGGGAGGGCGCUUACCACUUUGUGAUUCAUGACUGGGGUGAAGUCGUAACAAGGUAACCGUAGGGGAACCUGCGGUUGGAUCACCUCCUUA
rnacentral:rRNA from 1 species